rnacentral:misc_RNA from 1 species
AAGGCUAUGAAACUCUGAGUUGCCAACAUUAAAACAAUGCUUUGAUCGAGCAGUGAUAGCUUCUAGACCCAUUUACCGGCAGGCCAAGCUCCAAACAAAUCGGCUCUCUUGAAACUCGAAUCUUCUGCAUUUCUCCCUCGCGAUAAAUCUCAAAAAUCGGCAACCAAAAACCCCAAUGCAUCGCUAUUAACAAACCAACCUCUGGUGUUUCCAUUUCGUCUUCGUUAUAGAUUUUAAUGGCUUGAUAAUUUCAUAGGAGAGCAU